UACGGGGGGGGGCAAGCGUUGUUCGGAAUUACUGGGCGUAAAGGGCUCGUAGGCGGCCAACUAAGUCCGAUGUGAAAUCUCCCGGCUUAACUGGGGAACUGCGUCUGAUACUGGAUGGCUUGGAUUUGGGAGAGGGAUGCGGAAUUCCAGGUGUAGCGGUGAAAUGCGCAGAUAUCGGGAAGAACACCCGUGGCGAAGGCGGCUUUCUGGGACGGUACUGACGCUGAGACGCGAAAGCGUGGGGAGCGAACAGG
rnacentral:rRNA from 1 species